UACGAAGGGGGCUAGCGUUGCUCGGAAUGACUGGGCGUAAAGGGCGCGUAGGCGGACGGCUUUGUCGGGCGUGAAAUUCCAGGGCUUAACCUUGGGGCUGCGUUCGAGACGGGUUGUCUAGAGUUUGGAAGAGGGUCGUGGAAUUCCCAGUGUAGAGGUGAAAUUCGUAGAUAUUGGGAAGAACACCGGUGGCGAAGGCGGCGACCUGGUCCUUGACUGACGCUGAGGCGCGAAAGCGUGGGGAGCAACAGG
rnacentral:rRNA from 1 species